AUUGAACGCUGGCGGCAUGCCUUACACAUGCAAGUCGAACGGCAGCACGGGGGCAACCCUGGUGGCGAGUGGCGAACGGGUGAGUAAUGCAUCGGGACGUGCCCAGUAGUGGGGGAUAACCCGGCGAAAGCCGGGCUAAUACCGCAUACGACCUACGGGUGAAAGCGGGGGACCGUAAGGCCUCGCGCUAUUGGAGCGGCCGGUGUCUAAUUAGCCAGUUGGCGGGGUAAAGGCCCACCAAGGCGACGAUCAGUAGCUGGUCUGAGAGGACGACCAGCCACACUGGGACUGAGACACGGCCCAGACUCCUACGGGAGGCAGCAGUGGGGAAUUUUGGACAAUGGGCGCAAGCCUGAUCCAGCCAUGCCGCGUGCGGGAAGAAGGCCUUCGGGUUGUAAACCGCUUUUGGCAGGAACGAAACGGCGCAAGCUAAUACCUUGCGCUAAUAACGGUACCUGCAGAAUAAGCACCGGCUAACUACGUGCCAGCCGCCGCCGUAAUAC
rnacentral:rRNA from 1 species